CACACACACACACACACACACACACACACACACACACACACACACACACACACACACACUCAUUCUCUCUCUCUCUCUCUCUCUCUCUCUCUCUCUCUCUCUCUCUCUCUCUCUCUCUCUCUCUCUCUCUCUCUCUCUCUCUCUCUCUCUCUCUCAUAAAACACACACACACACACACACACACACACACACACACACACACACACACACACACACACACACACACACACACACACACACACACACACACACACACACUCUCUCUCUGUCUCUCUCUCUCUCUCUCUCUCUCUCUCUCUCUCUCUCUCUCUCUCUCUCUCUCUCUCUCUCUCUCUCUCUCUCUCUCUCUCUCUCUCUCUCUCUCUCUCUCUCUCUCUAAACACACACACACACACACACACACACACACACACACAGAAAUAUAAUUAUGACAGCGUGGCCUUGAAUUAAAUCUCCACUGGUCGAUUCACUGCUAUGGACGGUACCACAAAAAAACAAAAAAUAAAAAAAUGAAAUCAAUCAAUGAAUUUACUAGCCAUAGCAACUUCCCUUGGCUCAGCAUUUGACUUGCCUUACGUAGUGAUGCAUCCCAACAUAGAGUCCCAACAUAGAGUCCCAAGUCAUAGAGGUUUUCUGUUUCCCGCCCUUCAAGUUGCUGGGGGAUUUUAGACGAGUGUGUCAAGAAAACGGAGAACGGAGCGGUGAGGAGCCUCGCUGUGUGGGCCAGGACAAUGACAGCACCUACACUAUCCUGGACCUCUACUACUACUACUACUAUUACUGCUACUACUACCACUGCUACCAACACUGGCCUCUAUGUUGGCCUGGUGUUUGGGUUAAUUUUGUGUCUAAUGUUUGUGGCAACACUGUUCUUCCUUAGACGGAGACAGAGAAGAGGAGGGGGA